ACGCUGGCUGUGUGCCUAAUACAUGCAUGUCGAGCGGAAGUAGCAAUACUUUAGCGGCGAAUGGGUGAGUAACACGUGCUUAAUCUACCUCUUAGAUUGGAAUACCUAAUGGAAACAUUGGUUAAUGCCGGAUACGCAUGGAGUCGCAUGACUCCGUUGUGAAAGGGGCCUUUAAAGCUCCACUAAGAGAUGAGGGUGCGGAACAUUAGCUAGUUGGUGAGGUAACGGCCCACCAAGGCUAUGAUGUUUAGCCGGGUCGAGAGACUGAACGGCCACAUUGGGACUGAGAUACGGCCCAAACUCCUACGGGAGGCAGCAGUAGGGAAUAUUCCACAAUGAGCGAAAGCUUGAUGGAGCGACACAGCGUGCACGAUGAAGGUCUUAUGGAUUGUAAAGUGCUGUUGCAAGGGAAGAAAAAGUAGUUGAGGAAAUGCUUCUACAUUGACGGUACCUUGUUAGAAAGCGAUGGCUAACUAUGUGCCAGCAGCCGCGGUAAUACAUAGGUCGCAAGCGUUAUCCGGAAUUAUUGGGCGUAAAGCGUUCGUAGGCUGUUUAUUAAGUCUGGAGUCAAAUCCCAGGGCUCAACCCUGGCUCGCUUUGGAUACUGGUAAACUAGAGUUGGAUAGAGGUAAGCGGAAUUCCAUGUGAAGCGGUGAAAUGCGUAGAUAUAUGGAAGAACACCAAAGGCGAAGGCAGCUUACUGGGUUUAUACUGACGCUGAGGAACGAAAGCGUGGGGAGCAAACAGGAUUAGAUACCCUGGUAGUCCACGCCGUAAACGAUGAUCAUUAGUCGGCAGAGAACUGUUGACGCAGCUAACGCAUUAAAUGAUCCGCCUGAGUAGUAUGCUCGCAAGAGUAAAACUUAAAGGAAUUGACGGGGACCCGCACAAGCGGUGGAGCAUGU
rnacentral:rRNA from 1 species